rnacentral:rRNA from 1 species
AAUGAACGUUGGCGGCGUGGAUUAGGCAUGCAAGUCGAACGGGCCACGGGUAGCAAUACUUGUGGUCAGUGGCGUAAGGGAGAGUAAUACGUAGGUAUUUACCCUGGGGUCUGGGAUAGCGGCGGGAAACUGCCGGUAAUACCAGAUGAUAUCUCCGGAUCAAAGGUGUGAUUCCGCCCUAGGAGAAGCCUGCGGUCUAUUAGCUAGUUGGUAGGGUAACGGCCUACCAAGGCAGAGAUGGAUAUGGGGGCGUGAGAGCGUGCCCCCACUCACUGGGACUGAGACACUGCCCAGACACCUACGGGUGGCUGCAGUCGAGAAUCUUCGGCAAUGGGCGCAAGCCUGACCGAGCGACGCCGCGUGCGGGAUGAAGCCUCGGUGUAAACCGCUGUCGAAGGGGAGGAAAUUGGUAAGU